rnacentral:rRNA from 1 species
UACAGAGGUCUCAAGCGUUGUUCGGAUUCAUUGGGCGUAAAGGGUGCGUAGGCGGCGCGGUAAGUCGGGUGUGAAAUCUCGGAGCUUAACUCCGAAACUGCAUUCGAUACUGCCGUGCUUGAGGACUGGAGAGGAGACUGGAAUUUACGGUGUAGCGGUGAAAUGCGCAGAUAUCAGGAAGAACACCCGUGGCGAAGGCGGCUUUCUGGGACGGUACUGACGCUGAGACGCGAAAGCGUGGGGAGCGAACAGG